CAUGUAGUUAGCCGGCGCUUCUUAUCCAGCUACCGUCAACCCACCCACAAAAGAGGCGGGCCUGCUUCACUGGCGAAAGAGGUUUACAACCCGAAGGCCUCCAUCCCUCACGCGGCGUCGCUGCAUCAGGCUUGCGCCCAUUGUGCAAUAUUCCCCACUGCUGCCUCCCGUAGGAGUCUGGGCCGUGUCUCAGUCCCAGUGUGACCGUCCACCCUCUCAGGCCGGCUACCCGUCACCGCCUUGGUAGGCCAUCACCCCACCAACAAGCUGAUAGGCCGCGAGCCCAUCCCCCACCGAAGCAAUACUCUUUCCCACACCCACAUGCAGCAGGCGCAGAAUACUCCCGGUAUUACGCCACGUACUUUCAUGCGGUUAUCCGAGAAGGAGGGGCAGGUUACUCACGUGUUACUCACCCGUUCGCCACUCACUCCAGAACCAGACCAAAACCGGUCCCU
rnacentral:rRNA from 1 species